rnacentral:rRNA from 1 species
GACGAACGCUGGCGGCGUGCUUAACACAUGCAAGUCGAACGGUAAGGCCCUUCGGGGUACACGAGUGGCGAACGGGUGAGUAACACGUGGGUGAUCUGCCCUGCACUUCGGGAUAAGCCUGGGAAACUGGGUCUAAUACCGGAUAGGACUCCGGACUGCAUGGUCUGGGGUGGAACGCUUUUGCGGUGUGGGAUGGGCCCGCGGCCUAUCAGCUUGUUGGUGGGGUGAUGGCCUACCAAGGCGACGACGGGUAGCCGGCCUGAGAGGGUGACCGGCCACACUGGGACUGAGAUACGGCCCAGACUCCUACGGGAGGCAGCAGUGGGGAAUAUUGCACAAUGGGCGCAAGCCUGAUGCAGUGACGCCGCGUGAGGGAUGACGGCCUUCGGGUUGUAAACCUCUUUCAGCAUCGACGAAGCGAAAGUGACGGUAGGUGCAGAAGAAGGACCGGCCAACUACGUGCCAGCCGCCGCGGUAA